GACGAACGCUGGCGGCGUGCUUAACACAUGCAAGUCGAACGAAGUGGCGAACGGGUGAGUAACGCGUAAUCAACCUGCCCUUCAGAGGGGGACAACAGUUGGAAACGACUGCUAAUACCGCUUACCGAAGGAGGGGUUUUCGUCUGAUAUGCUAGUUGGAGGGGUAACGGCCCACCAAGGCGAUGAGCAGUAGCCGGUCUGAGAGAAUGAACGGCCACAUUGGGACUGAGGCACGGCCCAGACUCAUACGGGAGGCAGCAGUGGGGAAUCUUCCGCAAUUGACGAAAGUCUGACGGAGCAACGCCGCGUGAGUGAUGACGGCCUUCGGGUUGUAAAGCUCUGUUAAUCGGGACGCGGUACCGGAAUAGAAAGCCACGGCUAACUACGUGCCAGCAGCCGCGGUAAUUC
rnacentral:rRNA from 1 species